ACUGAACGCUGGCGGCAGGCCUAACACAUGCAAGUCGAACGGUGGCACAGAGAGCUUGCUCUCGGGUGACGAGUGGCGGACGGGUGAGUAAUGUCUGAGAAACUGCCCGAUGGAGGGGGAUAACUACUGGAAACGGUAGCUAAUACCGCAUAACGUCGCAAGACCAAAGGGGGGGACCUCCGGGCCUCACACCAUCGGAUGUGCCCAGAUGGGAUUAGCAGGUAGGUGGGGUAAUGGCUCACCUAGGCGACGAUCCCUGGCGGGUCGGGGAGGAGAACCGGCGAACCUGGAACGGAGACACGGCCAAGACUCCACCGGGAGGCAGCGGUGGGGAAUAUUGGAAAAUGGGCGCAAGCCUGAUGCGGCAAUGCCGGGUGGAUGAAGAAGGCCUUCGGGUUGUAAAGUACUUUCAGCGGGGAGGAAGGCGGUGAAGUUAAUAACUUCACCGAUUGACGUUACCCGCAGAAGAAGCACCGGCUAACUCCGUGCCAGCCGCCGCAGUAA
rnacentral:rRNA from 1 species